rnacentral:rRNA from 1 species
AGUGAACGCUGGCGGUAGGCCUAACACAUGCAAGUCGAACGGCAGCACAGUAAGAGCUUGCUCUUACGGGUGGCGAGUGGCGGACGGGUGAGGAAUACAUCGGAAUCUACUUUUUCGUGGGGGAUAACGUAGGGAAACUUACGCUAAUACCGCAUACGACCUACGGGUGAAAGCAGGGGAUCUUCGGACCUUGCGCGAUUGAAUGAGCCGAUGUCGGGUUAGCUAGUUGGCGGGGUAAAGGCCCACCAAGGCGACGAUCCGUAGCUGGUCUGAGAGGAUGAUCAGCCACACUGGAACGGAGACACGGUCCAGACUCCUACGGGAGGCAGCAGUGGGGAAUAUUAGACAAUGGGCGCAAGCCUGAUCCAGCCAUACCGCGUGGGUGAAGAAGGCCUUCGGGUUGUAAAGCCCUUUUGUUGGGAAAGAAAAGCAGCAGGUUAAUACCCCGCUGUUCUGACGGUACCCAAAGAAUAAGCACCGGCUAACUUCGUG